CAAGUUCGACCAGUUCGACCAGUUCGACAAUGAGACCACAGACAACGAUAAAACUAACAUUCCAAUUAAAAACGGAACGAUCACUUUUUAGAACAUGGAUGCACGAAAAUAAAGUUACAAAAAUGUGGUCAUCGUCAUGUCAACUUUGGUGUCGCAGCUUUCCAUGCUCUCCACUCCAUGUUGUUUGGCGGAAUUCAGGCCUGAGCCAGCCAUCGUAACAGCAAAGUUUUGCUUGUGUUGGAAGUCCAGUCAUAUGAUUUGACUGAUGGCCUCCUGUCAUCAGCAACAAUCACAGCAUCCUCACUUAGAUAAACAGCAUCCUCUUCAAUUGGAGAAACAUCCAGUGUCGACCGAGUUAAGGAUCUCUUCGAUUCCCCUUUCUUAAAUGUUCUCGUGUACGCCCAUGCGAGUGUGGGUGUAUUCACGAGGACUCCCUUUUACCUAUCCCUCCUCUGGUGGAUUCAACUUUUCUGUGGCUGGAUGGAGC